CAUACCUUGAAAAACCAAGACAGGGUCUUGAAUCAGCCAGGCAGGCAUAUCCCGGGUCAAAACUUCCUCAAGGCCAUCUCUCUCGGAAACUUAACAUUACACAUAUUUCUCCAUCAUUAAUGCGCCUUGAGGUUCAAAGAAUCCGAAAAUGAUAAGCAAGGACAAGUGGGUCGAGCAAUGUAUGGAACUUUUGGAACCUGAUCCUUUCAGCAAUAUACGAAACACUAUGAUAAAAAAGGGAGAGCCUAGCUGGGGGUUGAAGGAAGUCCGAAUGGUCCCACAACCUGUAAAUGAAACUAUUAGUUGAUUGAAUUUCCUAUAAUAAUUAUUCAAUCAUUUUCUUCAUCGUGUAAACACUAAAAUUUUAAGUGUCUAUGUGCAGGCAAUGCUGAAAAUUUUGAGACUGAUGGAAUAAUAAAGUUUGCAGCACAAUCUCAGAGACUUAAAACUGAUGAAUAUUCCAACUGUAUCUAUUAGCAAGUAUCCUAGUGUAACAUUUCUUUAAAAAACUUUAUAUAGAAAACAUAUCCACUUAGCACAAAUCAACGUCAUGAAGAAUCUUAUACUCCAUUUAAGCUCCGGAGCACUAUUUUUGUAUCUUGUCUAGGUGAACUAAUGCUCUGUCUUCCAGCACCGGUGGUUAAUACACAAUAGAGCAUCUGUCCCAAAAGCUUUGUCUGCACAACGAAGUAAUCCAACCCCUUAGAUCAGAAAUCUCACAACAUCCGCAAUUCCAUCAUCAAAAUUGUAAGCAGCUUCUCGACCAAUUUAUAGAAUUAAAUAUGGUAUCCAAUAUUAAAUGUUUGAAAAAGACAGAUUUAUCUCUACUCUCUAAGGGGCAUUUACUAUUGAGGACUAGUCUAGAUAAAUACAAAUAGUAUAUGUUAAUCUAUCGUUUACUAAGAUGGAUUAGAACAUUGGGAUACCUCAAGACCCUUGAUCAUUUCUAUAAUUUGAGCUAACCUGCUUGAUUCAUGUUCCAUUAAAGAAGUCUUAGUGACAAGAAUAAAAAUACUUCAUCAUAUAUGUUAUCAAUCAUGAAAAAUAAACACUCUGCUAAAACACAAAGGUCUCAUGGAAUUAUAAGAAUAUUCAUGAUAUAUCAUAGAAACAUCAUUCAACUCUAAAUGCUAAACAACAAACUUGAAGAGAAAACCUCACUCUGAUUAAUAUGCAACAGCAACUCACUUACGUGAAAGAUAAGGAAGACAAAAAGUAUUACUGUAAGCAUUACAGAUUUUAUUCAAUAUAAGCAUACAUGAUUUCAAAUCUCUCUAAGGGUGUGUGUCUACUUUUUAUUCGUCUAAACAGAUGGAUAAUAUAAUGAGGUAUAAAUUUAUCAAUUAAAGUGGGCAUCAUAUUUUUACAUUUUGUUUGUUUUGAAUGAUAAUAUAUUUAAGGUGCUACCCUACAUUUUAUAAGUCCUACUCUAAUUUUUUCUUAAGUUAAAGCAGACGAGGUAUAAGAUGACAAAGGUAGUUUAUCCAUUUUUUAUACCUCAAAGCAAACGCACCCCAAUACAACAAUUGAUAAUUCAAUAGAAUUGAGCAAACGGAAUUGGAAAUUAGGUCAAUUGUGUAUCAAGAUAAAACGCAAGUAUUUCUAGCUUAUAGGGAAUCUAAACGCCGGAUAAUUAUAAUUUAGCUCGAUAAUUUAGAAAAAAAUAAUAGGAAGAUUGAUUAGGGUACCAAAGAGGUGGCGGAAGGCGUCGUAGACGAAGUGUACUCUUCGUCCUUCUCAGCUGCUCUCAUUAUUUUCGACGGCACCGCCAUCGGAAAGGUCCCAACGCCGCUGCUGCUAGGUUCGGUAUCCGAGCUGCUACUGCCACUGCAGUUGCUUCCCUCAUCCCCAUUUUUCCAAGCGCCAUACCUCUCUCUCUCUCUCUCUCUCUGCCUGUUCAAGUUCAAAAAAUGGUCUCUACUUUUUUUUUAAAAAAAAAAAAGGAGAAUAUAAUACGACGUCGUUGGCGUAGUUAGAGAAAGAAAUUGGAACACGAAAGAG
rnacentral:lncRNA from 1 species